CUGUUUUAUCUCACCAUGCCCAGAUUCCGGGAAUCCUAAGGUAAUCCCUCAUCUAGAAGAGUGCCUUUUCAGGAAUUAAUUCUGCUGUUAGAGAAGUACCUAUGUCUUCAGAGAAUGUAAAGAAAGAUUAAUGAUUCACCCGAAGUUCGACAUUAUGUAUAACUCAGAACUCUUCACAGCAACUUUCAAAUAAGAUUAUCAGAACUUCUUGCAUGGAUUGGCACAGGACUCUGGGAUAAAUUAUCCUGGUAAGAAUUUUGAGACUUACUACUCUGGACAAGAAAGAUAAACUACAGAGGAUGCUGGCUUCCUCCCCAAACUGAACACUAUAGAUGCUACAUAAGAGAGAGAGGAGAAAGAUGGGUCCACUGAACUAACAUGAUAACUGGAUUUCUGCAGGGAGGAAAGGCAGACGUGGUUUGUUGUGAAGGAGACAAGCAGCCUGCAGGAGAGACAGGAAUCAGGUAACACUGUUGGAGCGAGGCUGGCAGAGGAGGUUUUAAUUCUUUAGUUUCAUUUUUUGGUGAGAGAGAAUAGAAGCAUCCUACAUGGCCACCUAUUGUCCAAGGAAUAACCUCAGUACAGUCCCAACAAGAGUAACGAGAUGACGGAAACAAGUCCGACAAGGGAAUACUAAAUUAUCCCUACUUCUCCUGUUCUUGUCCCCACAAUUGCUCCAGGAACUAGUAGGUUAUCUCCACCAUCUUCUAAGAUGAUUAUUUUAGAAUUACCCGAUGAAUUUAAUGGCAAUUCCUAAGGGACGUCAUUUUCCUGGUAGCAUGUAGUAGCAAUGUCUGAGGCAUUCACGAAAACUGUAGUAAGCCUCAAAGGAAGCUUUAAUACCUUCCCAAAAGCGCAAUAUCACAUUGUCUGUAUUUUCUAUGGUAGAGGAAAACUUGAAAUUAAUAAAAAGUAGCCAGAAAAAGAAACUUUUUGUUCUUAAAACUAAUACGCUUUCCUCUGUCUGAUAUGUUUAUUUUUAUUGAGUAUAAUUUGUUCAUAUCCAUCCAUUAAUUUUCAUGACUGUAUGAUACCUGGAUAAUAUUGCAUAAGGAUAUACUAAUAUACGUGAGAAUGAAGUGGUUUAAGAAACCCUCUUCCAAAGAGCCUCAAGUAACCAGCAGCCUGGGCGACAGAGCGAGACUCCGUCUCAAAAAAAAAAAAAAAAAAUAGAAGUUUUUAUUCAUAACAAUAAUGCAAUCAUUUAUUAAACAGCUAUUAUGCUUAAUUUGUUUCUUAUGUAUUUGUGUCUAAUUCUUAAAAACAACUUCUCACAUUCAGAGUUAAGUAACUUGCCCAAUGUCACAUGGUUAGUAGAGGUUGAGUCAGGAUUUGAGCUAAGUUUUGCAAGAUCAUGAAGUUCACUCUGUUUAUAGCAAUAACCAUUCAAGCUGAAGAUAAAUGUUGUCUAGAAGUGGAUUUGUAAAGAAUUAUGUAUGUCUGGUUGAAAAUCAUGUUAAGAACGUUAGUAUACUUGUAUUUUUAGAACUAUACAAUUCAUUCAUGAAACAAUUUUUAUUGAAUGUUUACCAUAUGGAAGACAUCACAGAAAAUAUUUACUGAUAAAAAAGGAAAAGCUGUAAUCUCUAAGAUUUCAAAUUUAACAAACAGCUGUCUACAAAUAACAGAAAUGAAUCUCCUCAGGAGUCAUCUUGAAAUUACGCUAAAAUGCAAUUUUCCUUUGAAACUGGAAAAUCCACUAAAUGAGACAACAUUUGGUAAUUGGUAUUCUUCAGCAACUAGUAGGCUGCAUAGUGGGGAAAUGAAAAUAGUAAAACCAUGAAAGAAUAGAGGGAAAAAAGGCUUAUAAACUAAACCAUCAACAUAAAUGGCUCUUCUACCUUUUUACUGUUGGCAUGUAAUGUACUAGGCAUGGUGCAAUUUGCACUCUUUAAAAGUCAUUUCUAAACAAAAACCUUAGAGACUUUAUCUUUCCUAGUAAACACUUAUGAUUAUAGGUGGGGAUAAGAGACAAAAUUGUUUAUCAAAGAAUAGUCCUUUUAUACAGACAGAUGAAUAAGAAGUUUCCUCUCAUUGAACUUUGAAUCAAACAAGUAGCUUAAAUGUAAAGAGUUUAAUUACAAACAUUAAUUCCAAUACAGUCUCGGACAUUUUAGCAUAUACAGUUUCAAAGAAAAAAAACUUCUAAUUCAAAACUAUUAUAUAUAAAAUAAAGCAAAUAUUUUCUCAUUCAUUUCAA